CUGAACCUCGAGCUGAAAAGGACGUAAAUUAUUAAUGUGCGCGGAUGGAGGAGAGCAUGAAGUGUAGCCCUGAAUUUGGCACAGACCGGACUUCGGAGUGCCAGAGUGUGUGUUUAGUGCUUUGGUGUGUUUGUAUCCUAUUGACAGCACUUGGGAGUGUCAACGAGUGAAAGCUGCGCGAGCAUCGUGUGUUGUGUGAAUGGCGGAUGACUAGGCUCCGUACAAAAAUCGGUCACCUGUUCGCACCGCAGACUUUGCCCAGUGAGGGAGUGUGUACGGAAAUUCUGUAACAGGCAGCUGGCAAGCGAAACUAGCAGCGGAACCGGGGCGCCUCGAGCUGUCAAGCGCGAGCCGAUCGCCGAAGCGCGCCAGGGUUAUAGGCUAGAUUCCCACUGAUACCGCUGCUGCCAUGAAGAGGAGGGAGUAUCCAGUCGGCGAAGUCCUCAUCAUUCCAAUGACAUCGACUUCACCUUCACCCCAGGACUCAGCUCGACCCCAAGCCCUUCCCCUCCAGCCCUCUUCCCCUCCUCUCCCUGUCUCCUCCCCUCCUCCCCCCCUUUCUCUGUCCAAUCCACAGCUCCAGGCUGAGUUUCUGAGGAGAGCUCCCAGAGCUGCCUCCCCUGACAACGACUCGGCUAGAUCCCAAAUCCUUCCCCUCCAGCCCUCUCCCCCAUCUCCACCUCUGUGGCUCCCCGCUCCUCCCUUCCUCCCCCUCUUUCCUCCCCUCCUCCACCCCUCUGUCUGUCCAGUCCCCAGCUCCAGGCGGAGUUUCUGAGGAGAGCUAGCCGUGGUCUCAGAACUGUCUCCUGCGACACCGACGAUGUCCUCACCUCCCCCAGCUCCCCCCUGGUUUCACCCUUUACCUCCACCACCACUUCCCCCUUACCUCCCCACCUCAGCCUCUCUCCCCCACCUCUCCCUUUAGCUCUCCACCACAGCCCCUCUCCCCCUCCACACCCACUACAGAGGGCUGCGCUACUCGCCUGUCUCUUUCCAGUCCUGAGCUGCUGACAGAGCUGCGUCGGUCUCAGUCCCGUCCUAUGAAGCACGUCUCCAUCUCUAAAGGACUCACCACUGUCUUCUGUGGACGGGGCAGGGGCGUAACGACUCCUAGCUCUGCUCCUGCCUCAGGAGCAACCAACCAGACACUCCGCUCAGACUCCACGGCCAAUGGAAGAAGACAGACGGGUCCCAAGCUGUCCAAUGGGACAUAGCGUUAGACUAAGUUAAAGUGCCUCUGAGGAAACCAGCUGCUGUAUAGUGUCAAUGUUAUUGAUAUUAAUGAAAACCAGUAGUACGGUGGCCUGAAUAUGAUACAUGAUCAGACACUAUCUAUACUGCCAUGUGCCAACAAUAAACACAAUGCAAAAUAACCGACAGACGGACACACUGUAGCUCUUCAUGUAAGACAUGGAGAGCAAUGUGUUGAGCUGAGGCAUGCCUCUCUCUUGAAAAAUAAAUUAUAAAAUGUAUCAUAA